rnacentral:rRNA from 1 species
AGUCGAGCGCACUCCUUUGGAGUGAGCGGCAAACGGGUGAGUAACGCGUGGGAAUCUACCCAUCUCUACGGAAUAACACAGAGAAAUUUGUGCUAAUACCGUAUACGUCCCUUCGGGGAGAAAGAUUUAUCGGAGAUAGAUGAGCCCGCGUUGGAUUAGCUAGUUGGUGAGGUAACGGCUCACCAAGGCGACGAUCCAUAGCUGGUCUGAGAGGAUGAUCAGCCACACUGGGACUGAGACACGGCCCAGACUCCUACGGGAGGCAGCAGUGGGGAAUAUUGGACAAUGGGGGCAACCCUGAUCCAGCCAUGCCGCGUGAGUGAUGAAGGCCCUAGGGUUGUAAAGCUCUUUCA